rnacentral:rRNA from 1 species
UACGGAGGAUCCAAGCGUUACCCGGAAUCAUUGGGUUUAAAGGGUCCGUAGGCGGUUUAGUAAGUCAGUGGUGAAAGCCCAUCGCUCAACGGUGGAACGGCCAUUGAUACUGCUAGACUUGAAUUAUUAGGAAGUAACUAGAAUAUGUAGUGUAGCGGUGAAAUGCUUAGAGAUUACAUGGAAUACCAAUUGCGAAGGCAGGUUACUACUAAUGGAUUGACGCUGAUGGACGAAAGCGUGGGUAGCGAACAGG